GUCUCCGUAGCUCAGCCGGAUAGAGCAUCAGAUUCCUAAUCUGGGGGCCGUGGGUUCGAAUCCCGCCGGGGACACCA
rnacentral:tRNA from 1 species